CCUUUUUUGAAGUCAAACUGAAGCUCAUAAUUCAAUGUCCAUAUCACAGGAAAUAGCAUUUCUACGGAUCUAAUUUUCAAAAUGUUCUGGGGGCAUAUCCCUCAACCCCCUAGGGAGCUCGCGCCUUUAGUGCUUGAGUCGUUUCACUCCCACCACCCCCUAAAAAAUUAUAAAGAAACACUUGGCUGCUCACCCAGCACCCCCUUGAAAAACCUUGCUGGAUCCACCCCUGAAGGCUUUCAAGUAAUACUGUAAUAGCAGGCAGCGCAGUACUUAUCAUAUCAUGCAAAUAAUUAUCAUAUUUAA